ACUGCGUACCUUUUGUAUAAUGGGUCAGCGACUUAUAUUCUGUAGCAAGGUUAACCGAAUAGGGGAGCCGGAGGGAAACCGAGUCUUAAUUGGGCGUUAAGUUGCAGGGUAUAGACCCGAAACCCGGUGAUCUAGCCAUGGGCAGGUUGAAGGUUGGGUAACACUAACUGGAGGACCGAACCGACUAAUGUUGAAAAAUUAGCGGAUGACCUGUGGCUGGGGGUGAAAGGCCAAUCAAACCGGGAGAUAGCUGGUUCUCCCCGAAAGCUAUUUAGGUAGCGCCUCGUGAAUUCAUCUCCGGGGGUAGAGCACUGUUUCGGCUAGGGGGCCAUCCCGGCUUACCAACCCGAUGCAAACUGCGAAUACCGGAGAAUGUUAUCACGGGAGACACACGGCGGGUGCUAACGUCCGUCGUGAAGAGGGAAACAACCCAGACCGCCAGCUAAGGUCCCAAAGUCAUGGUUAAGUGGGAAACGAUGUGGGAAGGCCCAGACAGCCA
rnacentral:rRNA from 1 species